CUACGGGCGGCAGCAGUGGGGAAUAUUGGACAAUGGGGGAAACCCUGAUCCAGCGAUGCCGCGUGAGUGAAGAAGGCCUUCGGGUUGUAAAGCUCUUUUCUUUGUGAUGAUGAUGACAGUAACAAAGGAAUAAGUCCCGGCUAACUUCGUGCCAGGCAGCCGCGGUAAUACGAGGGGGGCAAGCGUUGUUCGGAAUAACUGGGCGUAAAGGGCGUGUAGGCGGUUCUGCAAGUCUGAUGUGAAAGGCCAAAGCUUAACUUUGGGAGUGCAUUGGAAACUGUAAAGCUAGAGUGCAAGAGGGGAAAAUGGAAUUGCACGUGGAGAGGUGAAAUUCGUAGAGAUGUGCAAGAAUACCGGUGGCGAAGGCGAUUUUCUGGAUUGUCACUGACGCUGAGGCGCGAAAGCGUGGGGAGCAAACAGGAUUAGAUACCCUAGUAGUC
rnacentral:rRNA from 1 species